ncrna:unclassified sequences RAGATH-18 RNA
UCUGUGAAUCGUCAUAAAAUGAAAGUAGUUAGUAAUGCAAAGUGAUAUUGCAACCAAAUCAGACGGGAUGAAGCAGAAA